rnacentral:rRNA from 1 species
UAAUACGGAGGGUGCAAACGUUGCUCGGAAUCAUUGGGCGUAAAGCGCACGUAGGCGGAUUGCUAAGUCGGACGUGAAAGCCCUCGGCUUAACCGAGGAAGUGCAUUCGAAACUGGCAGUCUUGAGUACGGGAGAGGGUCGCGGAAUUCCCGGUGUAGAGGUGAAAUUCGUAGAUAUCGGGAGGAACACCAGUGGCGAAGGCGGCGGCCUGGACCGAUACUGACGCUGAGGUGCGAAGGCGUGGGGAGCAAACAG